AUGCCAAACGGUUGUUGUCAACGAUUCCCCUCAAAGGGGUGUUUUGAUCGUAAACUUAGGGGGUUCGAGGAGGACACGAUGACAAAGUUCAUCGUUUGGACGAAAGACAAAGCUUUUGGUGUGGACGACCCCAAACCCUUAUCUAAAAAAAUUAAGUGGAAACUCCAGUAUGUUCCUUUUGACGGGAUUCCCUUCAUGGUGGUUGGGAGGAGGGUCUACUCCUGUCACCAAGGGGUAGACAAGCACAAACAUGAAAAACUGACAAGACAGCUACAACUGGUUACUUCAUACGCUGUCUACGUCGAGCUCGCAGCAUUCUUAAGGACUCCUCUCACCCUGACCACCCUGACCACUGUUUAA
rnacentral:lncRNA from 1 species